GUGUUGGGUGGGGUGUGUAACUGGGUGUGUGUGUUGGUAAGGGUGUAUGUGUGACUGGGCCUUUCCCUGUGUGUCUCUGUGUGUGUAUUGGUUAGGGUGUAUGUGUGACUGGGCCUUUUCCUGUGUCUCUCUGUGUGUGUUGGUUGGGGUGUAUGUGUGACUGGGCCUUUCCCUGUGUCUCUGUGUGUGUGUUGGUUAGGGUGUAUGUGUGACUGGGCCUUUCCCUGUGUGUCUCUGUGUGUGUGUUGGUUAGGGUGUAUGUGUGACUGGGCCUUUUCCUGUGUCUCUCUGUGUGUGUUGGUUGGGGUGUAUGUGUGACUGGGCCUUUCCCUGUGUCUCUCUGUGUGUGUUGGUUGGGGUGUAUGUGUGACUGGGCCUUUUCCUGUGUCUCUCUGUGUGUGUUGGUUGGGGUGUAUGUGUGACUGGGCCUUUCCCUGUGUCUCUCUGUGUGUGUUGGUUGGGGUGUAUGUGUGACUGGGCCUUUCCCUGUGUCUCUCUGUGUGUGUAUUGGUUAGGGUGUAUGUGUGACUGGGCCUUUCCCUGUGUCUCUCUGUGUGUGUUGGUUAGGGUGUAUGUGUGACUGGGCCUUUCCCUGUGUCUCUCUGUGUGUGUUGGUUAGGGUGUAUGUGUGACUGGGCCUUUCCCUGUGUCUCUCUGUGUGUGUUGGUUAGGGUGUAUGUGUGACUGGGCCUUUCCCUGUGUCUCUCUGUGUGUGUAUUGGUUAGGGUGUAUGUGUGACUGGGCCUUUCCCUGUGUCUCUCUGUGUGUGUUGGUUAGGGUGUAUGUGUGACUGGGCCUUUCCCUGUGUCUCUCUGUGUGUGUUGGUUGGGGUGUAUGUGUGACUGGGCCUUUCCCUGUGUCUCUCUGUGUGUGUUGGUUGGGGUGUAUGUGUGACUGGGCCUUUCCCUGUGUCUCUCUGUGUGUGUUGGUUAGGGUGUAUGUGUGACUGGGCCUUUCCCUGUGUCUCUGUGUGUGUGUUGGUUAGGGUGUAUGUGUGACUGGGCCUUUCCCUGUGUGUCUCUGUGUGUGUGUUGGUUAGGGUGUAUGUGUGACUGGGCCUUUUCCUGUGUCUCUCUGUGUGUGUUGGUUAGGGUGUAUGUGUGACUGGGCCUUUCCCUGUGUCUCUCUGUGUGUGUAUUGGUUAGGGUGUAUGUGUGACUGGGCCUUUCCCUGUGUCUCUCUGUGUGUGUUGGUUAGGUUGUAUGUGUGACUGGGCCUUUCCCUGUGUCUCUCUGUGUGUGUUGGUUAGGGUGUAUGUGUGACUGGGCCUUUCCCUGUGUCUCUCUGUGUGUGUUGGUUAGGGUGUAUGUGUGACUGGGCCUUUUCCUGUGUCUCUCUGUGUGUGUUGGUUAGAGUGUAUGUGUGACUGGGCCUUUCCCUGUGUCUCUCUGUGUGUGUUGGUUAGAGUGUAUGUGUGACUGGGCCUUUCCCUGUAUGUCUCUGUGUGUGUGUUGGUUAGGGUGUAUGUGUGACUGGGCCUUUCCCUGUGUGUCUCUGUGUGUGUGUGUUGGUUAGGGUGUAUGUGUGACUGGGCCUUUUCCUGUGUCUCUCUGUGUGUGUUGGUUAGGGUGUAUGUGUGACUGGGCCUUUCCCUGUGUCUCUCUGUGUGUGUAUUGGUUAGGGUGUAUGUGUGACUGGGCCUUUCCCUGUGUCUCUCUGUGUGUGUUGGUUAGGGUGUAUGUGUGACUGGGCCUUUCCCUGUGUCUCUCUGUGUGUGUUGGUUAGGGUGUAUGUGUGACUGGGCCUUUCCCUGUGUCUCUCUGUGUGUAUUGGUUAGGGUGUAUGUGUGACUGGGCCUUUUCCUGUGUCUCUCUGUGUGUGUUGGUUAGGGUGUAUGUGUGACUGGGCCUUUCCCUGUGUCUCUCUGUGUGUGUUGGUUAGGGUGUAUGUGUGACUGGGCCUUUCCCUGUGUCUCUCUGUGUGUGUUGGUUAGGGUGUAUGUGUGACUGGGCCUUUCCCUGUGUCUCUCUGUGUGUGUUGGUUAGGGUGUAUGUGUGACUGGGCCUUUCCCUGUGUCUCUCUGUGUGUGUUGGUUAGGGUGUAUGUGUGACUGGGCCUUUCCCUGUGUCUCUCUGUGUGUGUUGGUUAGGGUGUAUGUGUGACUGGGCCUUUCCCUGUGUCUCUCUGUGUGUGUUGGUUAGGGUGUAUGUGUGACUGGGCCUUUCCCUGUGUCUCUCUGUGUGUGUAUUGGUUAGGGUGUAUGUGUGACUGGGCCUUUCCCUGUGUCUCUCUGUGUGUGCCACUUUGACGAAACAGAAAGUCGUCACCAUCCCACCAGUGCUGAGCUCCCAUGUAGUUCCAAAGGCGCUUGAUUUGUGACAAAAAAGAUGGGCAACACUUCGAUCUGCUUUGCCUUCAGGUCAAGUGAGACGCGUGUGUGUUUCUAACAGUAUUGUCUGUG